rnacentral:rRNA from 1 species
UACGUAGGGUGCAAGCGUUGUCCGGAAUUAUUGGGCGUAAAGAGCUCGUAGGCGGUUUGUCACGUCGGCUGUGAAAACCCGAGGCUCAACCUCGGGCCUGCAGUCGAUACGGGCAAACUAGAGUACUGCAGGGGAGACUGGAAUUCCUGGUGUAGCGGUGAAAUGCGCAGAUAUCAGGAGGAACACCGGUGGCGAAGGCGGGUCUCUGGGCAGUAACUGACGCUGAGGAGCGAAAGCGUGGGGAGCGAACAGG